rnacentral:lncRNA from 1 species
GAGUAUAUGCUUGAAACAUUGAGGACAAUGUUCAAUUUAAGUGUGGGGGAAUUGGUAACUAUUGUUUUGCAUGAAAAUUUGUAGAAAAUGAUCACCCAUUACUUCUAGUGUUGUUCCUUGCUGUUUAAGUGUUUUUAAGUUGUUUUGGAGUGUUUCAGUAUGUUUUGACAUAAAAAUCUAAAAAUCUCAUAAAAAUUUGAAAAAUUGUUUUGAAAAACCGAAAAAGAGUUGUUUUUGUUUGUUUAUUUUGUGUCUUAGGGUACCUUCCAACACAAUGAUAAGGAUUUGGUCUUUAAUUACAUGACUGUUAAAGAGAAUUAUAAACAUGGAUGAAAGUUUGAUAUGCUCUUUGGUUUAUACUUGGUUGUAGUUAUAAUUUAUGAAUUUACAUGCAAUCAUAAAGGAAAAAUUAGUUUUUGUAACAUGCUUGAAGAAAAGAACUCAAACAAACGCUACAACCUUGUGAGACUUGAGCCUAAACGUUAUUUGGAGAGUUGAUAAUCUGUGCAUUAUUGUUUUCUAAAGUUGUUGCAUGAUCUCAUUUUUCUUUGCAUGGUUACUACUUAGAAGGCAUUUCAUCAUUUAGUUCCAAAUGCUAGAACUCAUGCCCAUUUCAUUCAAAGCAUGAUAUUGAUUUGCAUAACAC